AGCACGCGACAGUCAGGAGUUCCCGGUGAAGCUCAGUGCUGCUGACAAGCCGCAAUAAAAGGAUUGCAGGUCUUGCGUCCGUCAGGAGGGUACUAAGCAUGCCGGGAGUGGCAGGAAAUGAGAUAAGAGAAGUAGUCACAGGAAUAGAAGACUCUAGAAGAGAUUGUGAGGGUUUCAGAUUCGACCCAAGUGCAGGGCGAAAUUAAUGUGGGACCCUGAGCUGAGUAGAACCGUUUGAUCUGCUGCAUCUUAGUGACUCUUCUUGUUGCUGAGUCCGGUGAAGACAGGGCCAUGGGCGGAGGGUGCUGGAGUAACCAGGGCUCUGCUGAGCAGCCUGGGGUGGAGCUGAGAGGAACGCGAGCGGACGGUGGUAACCCCGAGAGCACUGGGGGAAGGCAGAAACUGGAAGUUCGCACAAACCCAGAAGAUUUGCGAGUGAAAUAGAUUGAAAGUGUGUGAAAAACGCAAGGGAAACGUGCCCUGUAAAUUGUGCUACGAAGUCCGAUGGAAAAAUACCGCUGACGUGAUCUGAGCUGGGGAUUACCGGGAAGGAAUCUGAACAGUUUCUCUAAGUAUUUUUGAAAUGCCGAGUGUUCUAGCAUAGCUGAGUUAUACUCGGAGUAUGGUAGUAGGCAGUACUUCCUUGCUAAUCGGCCAACGGCUUGCCGGAGCUGAGUAAGGACUCCGUAACUAUUAGCUGAUAGCCACCACUCAGCUCCCAGUUUAACUUCUCAGUGAAGUCAAUUAUUGCCUAAGAGAAUCUGAACCAGUAAGCUGAGAAGUAGGACACCUUGUGCUUGUCUGGUUGAGUGUCUUGUGUCGUCUAAGUUAAGGGAGGGUGUUCAAGAAUGUGUGACCAGCUCCGAAGAAACUGAAUUUGGACACCAAACUCUGAUCUUUCCUUCGCAAUGAAUGCAAUGGACAGCUAGGGACGGAGGCUGGGGAAGACCUUGAACCUCCACAGAGAAGACAUUUCCCUUUCCAGAGCCGCCCAUCUGCCCUUUGAACCUGUGAUGGACUGCUUUGUCUCCAUGGAAACAGACUGUGUGCCUUACAAAUAGAUAAACCGCCUAGCUUGGGCACUCCACCUAGGGCAGCCCAGCUGGUCCUGCACUCUCCACACCCAGGGGAUGGUGUUCAAGUCUUGCUGCAUAGAGUGCAGCCCCACAACCGGCAGAGGCCAAGGAGGCCAAGGAGGCCAGACUCCGUCAGCAUUAUCUCAGCAAACCCAUUACCUCCGCAUUUGCUCUUCGUCCUUGGCUUAUGACACGGGGACUGUGGCCGUGAUAAUCUGCUCUGCUCUCUUCGGGACUUGAGCAGCCAGUCUUACCAGUUCAAACCAAAGGUACUGGUUUGAUUUGGCUCCCCGAAGCCCUAACCUGGUCCUGACAAAGAAGGACCAUGCCCUCUAUACGUUGUCAUCCCUGGUGACAGUCCUUGGGGAGCAGAGCAGCUUAGCCCCAUCGCGCGCUUUGCCUCAGUACUAGAGAGCACACAUCUCGAGGAAGACUUAUGGAACUCCGUUUCUAAAAUCUCAAGCCAGGCAUGCGGCACAAUAAUCAUCAUCCUUGCCCCAGCAUUUGUGGAGGUGAGGGUAGGGGGAUCAGGAUUCAAAGCCACUGUCAUCUAUAUAGGAAGUUCCGUGCUCAGCCUGGGCUACUGAUAACCUUGUUUAAAAGCCAACUGAUGGGGAAGCUCACUGGUGUUAACCAAUCACACCCGGUUAAGGCGUGGCUACCUGGACCGAGGAAGAAAAACUGAGAGGGACCAGGUGUGCGCUCUCUCUGGGCAAUUCCCGCCUGACGUAGAGGAAGUUGGACUUCCCAUUCCUGUGGUAUGAGUUUCCCUUUACAACACAGUGAGUCUGUCUCAUAAAACAAAACCACACCCGAAACACUUUCAUAACAGGAGCAAUUUCCCCAAGAUCUUACUUUGUAUGACAGAAAAAAACAAAAACAUUCAUAGGAGUUGAUUCUGCUCCCGCAGUGAGUGAGCGUCUCCCAACUCAGUCCUCUUCUAAGGCCUCCUGCUCACGCCAUAUUUAGGUCACAGCACCCGGACAUCGGCUGAGUGUUUUACACCAUUCGUUUUGUUCAAACGUGGUAAUUAACGAAAAGAAACUCCAAUGCAAAACAUUUUAAUAAGUCGUCGAAUAUACAGUUAUUAGAAUUAUCUAAAUAUCACUUAUAAAAAUUGGCAUAUCACAUUAAAUGACUCCAGAAACACAGUGACGACCCUUGCACUCCAAGGAUAUCCUGUCAACGGUACAAAUUACAAACACUGAGAAAGAGACCUAGAGACACCGAGACAUCUACACCCAAGCACAGCAAUACAUUCGUUCAUCGAGUACGGGAGGGCCGCGCUGCCGCCUGCCGCUACUGUGGGCACAACCUGGGCGCAGCUUCCCACGCUUCUGUACAUCUUCCGGUACAAAUCCCACAGCAAAGUGUCUAUGGAUGCCUUCCUCCUCAUCUACAGGGGACCGCAAACCCUGCCUUCAGUAAUUAAACUGUUAAUCCUCUAAGUGGGCACCAGGCCAAAGUGUAGCUACAAUGACGCAUUUUUAAAAAAAAAUAACUAACAAUAAAAAUAUUUUGACUUUCUACUGACUUAGUGGCACGAAUCAUGCCUGUUCUUAAUAGAAGCUAACAAAACAAGGUGGAAGACUUCCAAUAUUGUCAGCAAAGAUGUGAACUCCUUCUCAAAAUAUCGGUAUUUUAUGUUAUAAUGUAACUACUCUGAAGCGAAGAAGGAACUUCAUCACUGAAGUUCUUGAAAUACUGGCGAUUUAGAAAUCUGACGUCUAAGACGCUCGCGCUGGUAAGGGGCGACCGCAGCAACACACUACGCUAGUAUUGUUCUGAAGGAGAAGCCAGGCAUCGUUUUCCAAGUAAAGGUGGGAUGGAAGGUUGUUUAACGCCGUCUCUAGCUGCCACCGGCUGGAGAGUCAAAUGGGGGCCACAAUGCUGCACUUGUAACUUCACCUACUUUAGCUUGGUCUCAGCCCAAAAGUCAAAAAAAAAUAUUGGCCUCAUUUGUGACUCAGCACUCACCACAUCAUCUUUACCCAAGCACUAGCCUCAGCAGCUUUCGGUGAAGGUAUCUGUGCAUCUGUGUCACGGGAGUCCUGAGCAGGACGCUGGAAGUGGCGAGUCUCGAAAUGGUGAGUUUCGAAGGGCUCACAGAUGUAUACUUGAGAGCGGCUUGACUGGUGCACCUUGGUGAAGGAAUCUGAGUGACCCGAGGGCCAGGCCUCCAGAAACCACCCUGCAGGUCACUGUGUUCUAAAAGGACUCGAUGGGGGGAGGGGGGAGGGGCAACUGCAGCUACAGGUGUACAAAAGUCAAGGCCGGGGUCUGGAAGAGAGGUGCUGCAGCGUAAAGAGCUUAAACAAAGCAGGUUUAAACAGCAGACCUCGGGAGGUGUGGCACAAACCAGUCAGCCACCCUAAAGACAGCCUUGGUGCCUGUCACCUCACCAUUCAGCCCUCCCCCUGCCACACAUUCCAAAUUCCAAAAUCAAGGAGAAAAUUGCAACUGAAUUAUGGAAAUUCACCCCCCCCCCCAAAUGUUACCAAUUUGAUAGUUCCUAGGUCUGACAGGAAGAACAUCACAGAGAGAUCACGAACCACGAAAUGACAGUGUCAUUCCUGAAUUACAUCAACGUUCAGAAACCAGUUCUUACUCAGCUGAGUGGCCUGCGGGGCCACAGUAGCAAGCUGUAGUGUGCGCAGGCAGAGUGCACAAGCCCCCUUCAGACACACGAAGCAAAGCACCCCAGACAAUUGAACACCACGGCUAUCAGAACCACUUACACACAUUUUCCAAACUCUCUUCAAAGACUAUUUAAAUAUUUAACAACAAGUAUAAUUUAUGCAACUUCCAUCCAUAUUAAAAUAAUUAAUGUAAAUACUUUAUUAUAAAACUAUUUUACAAUUUAAACUUUUAUUUGAGAAACAUAUUCACAUCCACAAUUUCUUAAAAGUCCUUUCCAUGAGUGCACCCCAUGAGAAAUACACUAAAACCAUGUUGGGGCGCGGGGGGGGGGGGGGAGGCUAGCAUUUCCAUCAGCCCAAGCCAUCUCCUCAUUUGCUCAGUUCUUAAAUACCUCUGCGUUCACAGACGCUUGGCUAGUGAUGGAUGCCUCUUCCCCAAAGUGGCAACUCUCAGCAUCAUCUUACAAGACAGGACAGACUAGAAAACGCCACAGGUUGGUUACAUAAACACGCUGAUCACAUUGUCGAAAAGCAGAAUCGAAUAGUAACAUAAAGAGGGCAACAGUGGUAAAAUGUAAACAAGAAGAAUUGAACGUUAAUCCCUUCCCUGAAAAGCAGAGAUAAGAAUCACUUCCUGUUUUAUUCAGACAAAACCUAAAGGCAGGAUGCUGGCUUCCAAAAUGCCUGAAACAGCUGUGGAUGAAGGGCCUGGCUGAGCUAAAGUGUGCCCAACGCUUUGAGUACUUGAGUUGACUUAGCCAUCGUACAUCACCUGGCACCAUCCCAAAUUGCCUCUUAAGAUUCAAAAUAGUGUUCACCAGAUGAGCUUGAGAGUUACGAAAUCACAUCCAGAUAACAAGUCAACAUUGUAAGAAAAAAGGUAAAACUCAAAAUUUUCUAGUAAUUAUCGCUUGGAAUUCACUCCCACAGAACGAAAGAAACAAAACCCUCUCUCUACAGCCAGAACACGCUUGGGCAGAGAACAUGGAGGCCUUGUGGGGACACCUGAAGCCUCCUGAGUGGAAACACAGAAGCACGAGCCCCAACCGCCCUGGCUGAUGACCUGUGUGUUCCAGGCUCACGCUUGGGCGUGGACAUUCGCAAACGGUCCUCGGAUGGGGUCAGGAGAGUAAGAGAACUUAAAAUCCCCUCCACUUAGAGAAAAUGCUUCUAGAGUGAACAGUUUUAUUUGUAAUUCUGAAGGAAAGGUUUUUUUUUUUUUAAAAAAAAAAAAGUCAAGUCAUAACUCAAAAAUAUUUUCCAGAAAUGACAAGCCGUUCAAUUAUUCUAACCCAUCAGUGAGUCAAAGUGCACAGCACUGACAGCAAAAGGAUUUGCAAAUUUAAUCUCAAUUUUAAAAAAUCUUACUGAUAAUUAGUUAAUUUGAAAAAGGUGGUAGGUGUUAAAUAAACAUAACACUUACAAAUCUAUUUUCUCAAGGAAAAGCUGCCUGCCCUUGUUCUGAGUGAAAAUAAAUUUCUCUGUUAGAUGCCGUGGGCGUGAAACCGAGACAGGAUUCUGGCCUAUAGCAGCCACGGUUUGUCACUGCAUAACCAAAUUCUGAGAAAGGUUUUUACGCUAAGGCUUGAAAGUAAAUGGGGAUACAUUUUUUUUUUAAAA